AAGAAAUCGCUGUGAAAUCAACAUGGCAGCGAUUUUUUACUUGCUGCCAUGUAUCUUUCUUGUUUCAAAACUAUAUGGUAGCGAUACAAAAAUCGCUGCCAUAUCAUUUGGCAGUGAUUUUUUACUCGCUGCCAUAUAU